rnacentral:rRNA from 1 species
UGACUGUCUUAGUUUAAAUUUUAGAAUUUUAUUUUUAAGUUAAAAAGCUUAAAUUUUUUUAAAAGACGAGAAGACCCUAUAGAAUUUUAUAUUAUUUGAAUAUUUUGUUAUUAGGAUUUUAAUACAGAAUUUUUUAAUUAGUAUUUAGUUGGGGUGAUUGAAAAAUUUAAUAAACUUUUUUUUAUUAUUAACAUUAAUAUAUGAUUAUAUGAUCCAGUUUUUCUGAUUAUAAGAUUAAAUUACCUUAGGGAUAACAGCGUAAUUUUUUUAGAGAGUUCUAAUCGAUAAAAGAGAUUGCGACCUCGAUGUUGGAUUAAAGUUUAUUUUUAAUGUAGGAGUUAAAAUAUUAGGUCUGUUCGACCUUUAAAAUUUUACAUGAUCUGAGUUUAAACCGGUGUGAGCCAGGUUGGAUUCUAUCUUUAAUUAAAUUAAAUAUUUUAGUACGAAAGGACCAAGUAUUUAUUAUAAUAAUUUUAUUAGAA